AGUGAACGCUGGCGGUAGGCCUAACACAUGCAAGUCGAACGGCAGCACAGUAAGAGCUUGCUCUUACGGGUGGCGAGUGGCGGACGGGUGAGGAAUACAUCGGAAUCUACUUUUUCGUGGGGGAUAACGUAGGGAAACUUACGCUAAUACCGCAUACGACCUACGGGUGAAAGCAUGGGAUCUUCGGACCUUGCGCGAUUGAAUGAGCCGAUGUCGGAUUAGCUAGUUGGCGGGGUAAAGGCCCACCAAGGCGACGAUCCGUAGCUGGUCUGAGAGGAUGAUCAGCCACACUGGAACUGAGACACGGUCCAGACUCCUACGGGGGGCAGCAGUGGGGAAUAUUGGACAAUGGGCGAAAGCCUGAUCCAGCCAUACCGCGUGGGUGAAGAAGGCCUUCGGGUUGUAAAGCCCUUUUGUUGGGAAAGAAAAGCAGCAGGUUAAUACCCCGCUGUUCUGACGGUACCAAAAGAAUAAGCACCGGCUAACUUCGUG
rnacentral:rRNA from 1 species